rnacentral:rRNA from 1 species
UAAGCGACUAAGCGUACACGGUGGAUGCCUAGGCAGUCAGAGGCGAUGAAGGGCGUGCUAAUCUGCGAAAAGCGUCGGUAAGCUGAUAUGAAGCGUUAUAACCGACGAUACCCGAAUGGGGAAACCCAGUGCAAUACGUUGCACUAUCGUUAGAUGAAUACAUAGUCUAACGAGGCGAACCGGGGAACUGAAACAUCUAAGUACCCCGAGGAAAAGAAAUCAACCGAGAUUCCCCCAGUAGCGGCGAGCGAACGGGGAGGAGCCCAGAGUCUGAAUCAGUUUGUGUGUUAGUGGAAGCGUCUGGAAAGUCGCACGGUACAGGGUGAUAGUCCCGUACACCAAAAUGCAUAGGCUGUGAACUCGAUGAGUAGGGCGGGACACGUGACAUCCUGUCUGAAUAUGGGGGGACCAUCCUCCAAGGCUAAAUACUCCUGACUGACCGAUAGUGAACCAGUACCGUGAGGGAAAGGCGAAAAGAACCCCGGCGAGGGGAGUGAAAUAGAACCUGAAACCGUGUACGUACAAGCAGUGGGAGCACCUUCGUGGUGUGACUGCGUACCUUUUGUAUAAUGGGUCAGCGACUUAUAUUUUGUAGCAAGGUUAACCGAAUAGGGGAGCCGUAGGGAAACCGAGUCUUAACUGGGCGUCUAGUUGCAAGGUAUAGACCCGAAACCCGGUGAUCUAGCCAUGGGCAGGUUGAAGGUUGGGUAACACUAACUGGAGGACCGAACCGACUAAUGUUGAAAAAUUAGCGGAUGACUUGUGGCUGGGGGUGAAAGGCCAAUCAAACCGGGAGAUAGCUGGUUCUCCCCGAAAGCUAUUUAGGUAGCGCCUCGUGAACUCAUCUUCGGGGGUAGAGCACUGUUUCGGCUAGGGGGCCAUCCCGGCUUACCAAACCGAUGCAAACUCCGAAUACCGAAGAAUGUUAUCACGGGAGACACACGGCGGGUGCUAACGUCCGUCGUGAAGAGGGAAACAACCCAGACCGCCAGCUAAGGUCCCAAAGUCAUGGUUAAGUGGGAAACGAUGUGGGAAGGCACAGACAGCCAGGAUGUUGGCUUAGAAGCAGCCAUCAUUUAAAGAAAGCGUAAUAGCUCACUGGUCGAGUCGGCCUGCGCGGAAGAUGUAACGGGGCUAAACCAUGCACCGAAGCUGCGGCAGCGACACUUAGGUGUUGUUGGGUAGGGGAGCGUUCUGUAAGCCGUUGAAGGUGACCUGUGAGGGUUGCUGGAGGUAUCAGAAGUGCGAAUGCUGACAUAAGUAACGAUAAUGCGGGUGAAAAACCCGCACGCCGGAAGACCAAGGGUUCCUGUCCAACGUUAAUCGGGGCAGGGUGAGUCGACCCCUAAGGCGAGGCUGAAAAGCGUAGUCGAUGGGAAACAGGUUAAUAUUCCUGUACUUGGUGUUACUGCGAAGGGGGACGGAGAAGGCUAGGCUGGCCGGGCGACGGUUGUCCCGGUUUAAGCGUGUAGGGGGAGUGACCAGGUAAAUCCGGUUGCUUAUCAACCCUGAGGCGUGAUGACGAUGCACUACGGUGCAGAAGCAGUUGAUGCCAUGCUUCCAGGAAAAGCCUCUAAGCAUCAGGUAACAUUAAAUCGUACCCCAAACCGACACAGGUGGUCAGGUAGAGAAUACUCAGGCGCUUGAGAGAACUCGGGUGAAGGAACUAGGCAAAAUGGUGCCGUAACUUCGGGAGAAGGCACGCUGGCGUUAGGUGAAAGGACUAGCUCCUGGAGCUGAAGCCAGUCGCAGAUACCAGCUGGCUGCAACUGUUUAAUAAAACACAGCACUGUGCAAACACGAAAGUGGACGUAUACGGUGUGACGCCUGCCCGGUGCUGGAAGGUUAAUUGAUGGGGUCAGCCGCAAGGCGAAGCUCUUGAUCGAAGCCCCAGUAAACGGCGGCCGUAACUAUAACGGUCCUAAGGUAGCGAAAUUCCUUGUCGGGUAAGUUCCGACCUGCACGAAUGGCGUAAUGAUGGCCAGGCUGUCUCCACCCGAGACUCAGUGAAAUUGAACUCGCUGUGAAGAUGCAGUGUACCCGCGGCAAGACGGAAAGACCCCCGUGAACCUUUACUAUAGCUUGACACUGAACAUUGAGCCUUGAUGUGUAGGAUAGGUGGGAGGCCUUGAAGUGUGGACGCCAGUCUGCAUGGAGCCAACCUUGAAAUACCACCCUUUAAUGUUUGAUGUUCUAACUCGGCCCCAUAAUCUGGGGUGAGGACAGUGUCUGGUGGGUAGUUUGACUGGGGCGGUCUCCUCCCAAAGAGUAACGGAGGAGCACGAAGGUUAGCUAAUCACGGUCGGACAUCGUGAGGUUAGUGCAAAGGCAUAAGCUAGCUUGACUGCGAGAGUGACGGCUCGAGCAGGUACGAAAGUAGGUCUUAGUGAUCCGGUGGUUCUGAAUGGAAGGGCCAUCGCUCAACGGAUAAAAGGUACUCCGGGGAUAACAGGCUGAUACCGCCCAAGAGUUCAUAUCGACGGCGGUGUUUGGCACCUCGAUGUCGGCUCAUCACAUCCUGGGGCUGAAGUAGGUCCCAAGGGUAUGGCUGUUCGCCAUUUAAAGUGGUACGCGAGCUGGGUUUAGAACGUCGUGAGACAGUUCGGUCCCUAUCUGCCGUGGGCGUUGGAAGAUUGAGAGGGGCUGCUCCUAGUACGAGAGGACCGGAGUGGACGAAUCACUGGUGUUCGGGUUGUCAUGCCAAUGGCAUUGCCCGGUAGCUAAAUUCGGAAGAGAUAACCGCUGAAAGCAUCUAAGCGGGAAACUUGCCUCGAGAUGAGUCUUCCCUGGGGCUUAAAGUCCCCUGAAGGAACGUUAAAGACUAUGACGUUGAUAGGCUGGGUGUGUAAGUGCAGCGAUGUAUUGAGCUAACCAGUACUAAUGAUCCGUGAGGCUUAACCU